UUGUUUGUGUUGUUGGGUUCGAUCAGAAGGCAGGGGGCGACUUCAAGCUCCCCAAAACCCUAGUUCACAUCAAAAACCACCAAUUGAAGGAUCAAAUCGAGUCCAAAACGAAAACCGAGCAUAUAUUCGUGAUCCCCAUUGAAAGGAGAUCAUAAGUUUGUCGCCUAACGAGCUAGGUGGAGGCUUGAAAAAGAAGCGGUCAAACGAAUCAAGCACGAGAAGAAAACGUAUUCGGAUGCGAGGUAAGUAGAGCUUACGCCCCUUUACAUUAUUUGCAAAGUUACUUAAUUUCAAGUAAUGAUAUGAAUGCUACUAAGUGGUUGGUAUAUGAUAUUCCGACGCGAUUCAAUGAGAGUUGGAAUGAGGGGAAAUGGUAAAUUAGUCAUGUAAUGACGAAUAAUUAAAAACGGUUUUAAGUAAAACAAGUUCAAAGAAAACCGGGAUAGGUAAAAGGGGUGAAAUGGUAAUUAAAUACCAUCUCAACACGGACAAAUGGUCAAUUAGACUAAAUGGGUCAAAUGGUGUGGAUAACACCAUUUGGCAAUAACAAUUGACAAUCGCUUGUUGAGUUUUGUGAUUUCAGGAAAUAACAUGUGUUGCGUUGCUUUAAUUAGAAAAUUUAAAGCAAGAAGUAUGUAAACGGGUCAAUACUAUGAUCCGAGCCAGGUACGCAUACGUGAAUUUAUAGUUAAAAGUGCAAGAAGGUCUAACAUCUAGCCGAAAUCCUUCAUUUCAAAAUGAAGGACUAAAUGUGACCAAAGAGCCCUUAAUAGGUAAACAAUGUAAACGACCCUUAGAGGUUGCCUAGAAACUUAUAUUAUGAGUUUGAAACCCUUAGAUGUGUAUAAAAGUUCUAGGCAAAAACAAUUGCGGGUCAAACGCCUAGAAAUAGUUAAUUGCGGAAAAAUGACCAACCGAUAGGUAAAAUUGGGAAAAAGGGGUUCAUAUGUUAAAUCCACCACAAAAUAGUUGUGGUGGAAUAUUUCUAGUUAAUUAGACAUGGAAAAUAUUGUAGUAUCAAAAGAAAAGCAAAAGUUCUAGACCAAAAUGCGUAAAUACCCUUAACGGGUCGAAAUAGAAGUAUUAGCGAAACGAGUUAAGGAUGUGUAAUAACCCGUGAUUUGAACCUUGUGCAAUAGGAAAUAAUCAUAAUAUUAUGUUUACGAAAGAAACAAGGGCCACAAUCAAGUUCGUUAGAUGAAUUCAUGAACGGGUCAAAAUUUGGGUAAAAAUGGUAAUAAGCCGAAGACUUAAAAGUCUUAAAUUUUUGUUAAUCCGGAUGUCGGAUUUUAACUCCAUAUGAUGGAGAAUUAAAUUAAGGACGCGUAGGAAAAAGAAUCGUGUAAAACGGAUUAAAAACGAGAGAGUUAUGUCCGUUUCGGUAAGAACUAAUGAAAAAUAGACGUGCAGAGUUGACACGGGCGGGUGACUUUUUGACACGGCCGGGUGGCUGGGCUGUGAAAAAUAUAUGUUAACUGACACGGCCGGGUGACUUUUUGACACGGCCGGGUGAAGGGGCUGAAAACAAAACAAAAAUAAUUUCUUGUUUUGUUACGUUAAGCACGGAACUUGUUUAUACACGAUUAUUAAAGUGUCAAAACUAAUUAUUUACAUGGUUUUGACCGUAGGUGAAGAUGGGAUAAGCGGUUUGAAAGAUACGAAAGUUUUCGUGCAAAUAAACGGCAAAAUAGGAAAGCUGGAAUGCAGGGGCCACCGUAACUUACGGUGCCACUGUAAGUUACGGUGGAGCUGAAGGCUUUACGGCAGCCCCCUACUGAUUUACGGUAGGGGCAUGUCACACCAGGGGCCACCGUAACUUACGGGGCCACCGUAACUUACGGUGGAGGCCAGUUGGAAAUCCAUGUUUUGAGAUCAAAAGUUUAACGUUGGGAUUCUUUUUCCUUCCAUUAUUAUUACCGGAUUUGUUUAGACUUAUCACAUUUCCCGUAUGACUAAAGCAUUUCAUGUUGAUGAAAUGUAGGUUCUUUUUGGAUGCCGGAAGACGAUCAAGCUCAUCGAAGGACCGAACACGAUAAAGAUACAUGCUUCCGCACAUUUCCUCGUCGUAAAUUUUUAAACGACAAACUCGAUCACUUAUGUUGAAUAACUUAUGAUUUGUAAAAGUUUUAAUAAACUCGUAUUUUCAUAGUAUGUGUAAACUUAAUUACACAUCUAAUUGUUGGUAUUUAUAUAUAUAUAAACAAAAAAAAAACGUUAAAUAGUAACCAGAGUGUUACAAUAUGUAAUCUUAAUUACAUGACUGUUUUUCCUAAAUGAGACGUUAAACCUUAGUUUAUAAGAACGGGUGUUACAAGUUGGUAUCAGAGCCUUGGUUUAAGAGAUUCAAGUAUGGCGGGAAAGCUAUGCUUGGACUUAAACCUUAUGCUCUUGAUAAAGAUUGGUGUUCGGUUCGAGGCUUGAUCGCAAAUCCGGUAAGUACAUGUAUAUCAAUGGUUUAAUAUGAUUAAAGUGUUGAGAACAACACAUAUGGUUAUCGUGUAAUACACGUUACACCAAUAAAAUCGAUAUAGAAUAGAUAUAGUCAAUGAAAUUACACGCGUUGAUGCGUAUAGUAGAAAAGCCUUGUAUUAUAAUACGGGCAUCCUUUAAUGUUGAAAUUAUUAACAUUUGUAUGUGUUUUAGUUGAAGGACACUCGCAUAUGAGGAUAGCGAGAGCUUAACAAAUUACGGAUAUGAUAGAAGAACGGUCCAAAAUAUGACAAGAGGAGCAUGCUCACCAAGGACUAAAUCGCGUAACGACCGCGAACAAAGUUAAAGGCAAGAAACGCCCGUCGGGGCAAGCAUUGCCAGGUGGAGGCUUGAAAAAGAAGCGGUCAAACGAAUCAAGCACGAGAAGAAAACGUAUUCGGAUGCGAGGAAAUAACAUGUGUUGCGUUGCUUUAAUUAGAAAAUUUAAAGCAAGAAGUAUGUAAACGGGUCAAUACUAUGAUCCGAGCCAGGUGAAGAUGGGAUAAGCGGUUUGAAAGAUACGAAAGUUUUCGUGCAAAUAAACGGCAAAAUAGGAAAGCUGGAAUGCAGGGGCCACCGUAACUUACGGUGCCACCGUAAGUUACGGUGGAGCUGAAGGCUUUACGGCAGCCCCCUACUGAUUUACGGUAGGGGCAUGUCACACCAGGGGCCACCGUAACUUACGGUGCCACCGUAAGUUACGGUGGAGGCCAGUUGGAAAUCCAUGUUUUGAGAUCAAAAGUUUAACGUUCUUUUUGGAUGCCGGAAGACGAUCAAGCUCAUCGAAGGACCGAACACGAUAAAGAUACAUGCUUCCGCACAUUUCCUCGUCGUAAAUUUUUAAACGACAAACUCGAUCACUUAUGUUGAAUAACUUAUGAUUUGUAAAAGUUUUAAUAAACUCGUAUUUUC
rnacentral:lncRNA from 1 species